UACGAAGGGUGCAAGCGUUACUCGGAAUUACUGGGCGUAAAGCGUGCGCAGGCGGUUAUAUAAGACAGUUGUGAAAUCCCCGGGCUCAACCUGGGAACUGCAUCUGUGACUGUAUAGCUAGAGUACGGUAGAGGGGGAUGGAAUUCCGCGUGUAGCAGUGAAAUGCGUAGAUAUGCGGAGGAACACCGAUGGCGAAGGCAAUCCCCUGGACCUGUACUGACGCUCAUGCACGAAAGCGUGGGGAGCAAACAGG
rnacentral:rRNA from 1 species